ACCUACUGUACAGCAGAGCGACAUCCACUUAUCCACCUUUUUAAAACUUGUUUUUAACUUAACGCCAACUGCUACCAACCAUAUUGGAUUAUAUUACAGAUCACCUAUCUCACCGGAGUAUGAGGUUCCACAUUAUUAUGGCUCAGCUAAAUAAUUUACGGCCAACAAGAAACCACUGAAUAAAUUAUAGAAAUUUAAAUUCUAUCCAACAUGCUUACUAACAAUACUCUCUUGGACUGAUAUCAAUGUGGCAGUUUCUUCGAAGAAUGUUGCAUACUACAGUAACAUAUGAACAACAGCAACGAAUUGGGCUCUGCAUGUGGAUAAUGAACCGCCAAUAGUUGUUCAACCAGCAGCACCAGUACCAGUAGCUGCAGUUUUAGUACCAGUUGUUGCACCAGUACCAGUAGCUGCAGAUUUAGUAGUACCAGUUGUUGCACUAGUACCAGUAGCUAAUAAUUUAGUACCAGUUGUUGCACCGGCAGAAGCAGUUGCGUUAGCACCAGUAUUAGGUCAGAUUCUUUAUGUAGAACUAGCUGACAAUGAAAGCCAGAUGAUAAUGGGAGACAUAGACAUUGGAGUCCAAGAGUAGAAGGAUGUGGUAGAAACGGAAGACUUAAUAUAUUUAAAGCUUUUUAUGCAGAACUUGUAAAUAAGGAGGUAGAGCCACAUCAAGAAAAUUAAAUUCUUGAAGUAUGCAUAAUUUGCUACAAUGAAAUUUCCACCACUACGGUAGUGCCCUGCCAGCACCAUUUCUGCAAGGUAUACAUUGAGAGGGUAGAAGAGUUUGUCCACUAUGCAGAACUAACAUCAUUAUGCUACAAAACUUAUCUCAAGAAUAGUGAAUCAGUACCCAAGGGCAGCUACAGAAUAUAGGUACCUGGCCAAAAAGAUUUUCUUUAAAAAGACUGUAAUGAUCAUAUUUUAUAAUAAAAUAUUUAUAUUGUUAAUUAACACAAAAUAUAUUAGUUAGCA